AAUCCCUUAAAGCUACUCUCAGUUCGGAUUGUAGGCUGAAACUCGCCUACAUGAAGCUGGAGUUACUAGUAAUCGCAGAUCAGAAUGCUGCGGUGAAUGCGUUCCCGGGUCUUGUACACACCGCCCGUCACACCACGGGAGUUGGAGACGCCCGAAGCCGAUUAUCUAACCUUUUGGAAGAAGUCGUCGAAGGUGGAAUCAAUAACUGGGGUGAAGUCGUAACAAGGUAGCCGUAUCGGAAGGUGCGGCUGGGUCACCUCCUUUCUAAGGAGA
rnacentral:rRNA from 1 species